rnacentral:rRNA from 1 species
UACGUAGGCAGCAAGCGUUGUUCGGAGUUACUGGGCGUAAAGAGUGCGUAGGUGGUGCCCUAAGUCUGUUGUGAAAUCUCCCGGCUUAACUGGGAGGGUGCGGUGGAAACUGGGGUGCUUGAGUGUGGGAGAGGUAAGCGGAAUUCCUGGUGUAGCGGUGAAAUGCGUAGAUAUCAGGAGGAACACCGGUGGUGUAGACGGCUUACUGGACCACGACUGACACUGAGGCACGAAAGCUAGGGGAGCAAACGGG